AUCAGUCACCAUUCUGGCAGAUUAUCCCAUCAAAGUCACGGCUGAACUCGUCCAUGGAAAAAGCAGUGUGGCCCAAGCAGAGAGCACCAUCCCAGCAGGCUCUACCAGACUGCUGGCUCUUCCCCCUGUCUUUUCCAAUGACAUGAGUUACUGGUAUCCAUAUCAG